rnacentral:rRNA from 1 species
GACGAACGCUGGCGGCGUGCUUAACACAUGCGAGUCGAACGGUGAAGCUCCAGCUUGCUGGAGUGGAUCAGUGGCGAACGGGUGAGUAACACGUGAGCAACCUGCCCCUGACUCUGGAAUAAGCGCUGGAAACGGUGUCUAAUACUGGAUACGAGAAGGGUCCGCAUGGGCACUUUCUGGAAAGUUUUUCGGUUGGGGAUGGGCUCGCGGCCUAUCAGCUUGUUGGUGAGGUAAUGGCUCACCAAGGCGACGACGGGUAGCCGGCCUGAGAGGGCGACCGGCCACACUGGGACUGAGACACGGCCCAGACUCCUACGGGAGGCAGCAGUGGGGAAUAUUGCACAAUGGGCGAAAGCCUGAUGCAGCGACGCCGCGUGAGGGAUGACGGCCUUCGGGUUGUAAACCUCUUUCAGCAGGGAAGAAGCGAAAGUGACAGUACCUGCAGAAGAAGCACCGGCUAACUACGUG